CGGGAAACUGGGGAUAAUACCCUAUAGGAUAUUGAUGCUGGAAUGCGCGAUAUCUGAAAGUUGAGGCGCCGCAGGAUGGGUCUGCGGCCGAUUAGGUAGUUGUUGGGGUAACGGCCCAACAAGCCUGUAAUCGGUACGGGUUGUGGGAGCAAGAGCCCGGAGAUGGAUUCUGAGACAUGAAUCCAGGCCCUACGGGGCGCAGCAGGCGCGAAAACUUUACAAUGCGGGAAACCGUGAUAAGGGAACCCCGAGUGCCCGUAGAAUCGGGCUGUUGAUCUGUGUAAAAAGCAGGUAAAGAAAGGGCCGGGCAAGACCGGUGCCAGCCGCCGCGGUAACA
rnacentral:rRNA from 1 species